GGACCAGACUCCUACGGGAGGCAGCAGUGGGGAAUAUUGCACAAUGGGGGGAACCCUGAUGCAGCGACGCCGCGUGGGUGAAGGAGCACCUCGGUGCGUAAAGCCCUAUCGGCAGGGAAGAAACAGACGGUACCUGACUAAGAAGCCCCGGCUAACUACGUGCCAGCAGCCGCGGUAAUACGUAGGGGGCCAGCGUUAUCCGGAUUCACUGGGUGUAAAGGGAGCGUAGACGGCGACGCAAGUCUGGAGUGAAAGCCCGGGGCCCAACCCCGGGACUGCUCUGGAAACUGCGUCGCUGGAGUACGGGAGGGGCAGGCGGAAUUCCUGGUGUAGCGGUGAAAUGCGUAGAUAUUAGGAGGAACACCAGUGGCGAAGGCGGCCUGCUGGACGAUGACUGACGUUGAGGCUCGAAAGCGUGGGGAGCAAACAGGAUUAGAUACCCUAGUAC
rnacentral:rRNA from 1 species